AGAUGGAGGCUCGUUGACUAAACACAGAGGAGAGGAACACUUGAGAACCACAAGCUUUGCAGGGAUUGGAACCAACCAACAACAUAAGCGGUUAAGCGACAGGUCAGGGCAUGCUGGGAAAUGUAGACCUCCGCUCCUUUGAUCUGCUAAUGAGGACAAACAGGACCACAGUGUGACGGCUGACACAGGAACAGCGUACUGACACGGGACGUUGGGACAUAGCUUCUCCACAGGCGGGGUGCGUUGGACCCGGGGAAGACACUGAUCAGACUCGGGCGGUUCCCGUCUCGUGUGAAGUCGGUGACGGCGGUGAUUAAAACCGUGGCCCGGCCGCAGCUGCCCCCGCUACAGGCGUUGGGCCGCAGCUCCACCUGGCAGGCCGACAGCGCCACGUUUGGGGACUCGUGUCCGAGUCCGUCUGCGGAUGUCAACACAGCCGUGAGUUAGUGUGAAGGGACGACGCACAGCUGCCUGCAGGACUGUCAUCAUGUUCCUGAUGGUUCUUUGAUGUGAGGAUGUACGGGGCAAGUCACAGCAAAACACAAGAAAUGCUUUAAUGCAUGUUGUCCUGGAGUCUACUCUGAUCUAAUUGAAGGUCUGACCUGGGUCCUGCACGCUCAGAGCCAGAGGGACCCCACACUGGUGGCCGUGGUCGGGGCCGAAGCAGGGGAUGGGCACCGUGCUGUGCACCGUCACCUCGUGCUCUUUACUGUUCUCCACUAUGUGCAGCGAUUCUGGAGAGAACUGGAGAGAAAGAAGUCAUUGAUUAUCUCAGGUUCACCUUUGGCGCAGUAUCCCAUGCACCCCUGCGUGGGCUGCAGGCGGUACACCAUGAACACCCCACAGUUGCGCACGGUGACGGGGAUGCGGAAGAGGCAGCAGUCCUUGGCGCUGCCCUGGAAGAACUGCCAGGUGGCGCAGGCGGAGAGCUGCCGGAGCUCGCCGGGGCGCGGCAGGGGGGCGUCCUUCAGCGACAGCCACACCGGAGCCUGAGUGCCG